ensembl:lncRNA
UUUUUUUGAUAUUUGAAAAGCGUGUUCAAGAUUUUCGAGAAGGUGCGGAGUUCCCUUGUGUCUCACCUCCAAGCUAAUAGUUUACGUCAGGCACCAGCACUGGUCUUUUUAUUAGAUUGCGAAUCAUACAAAUGCAUUGUAGACCCAGACUUGAUAAGUAUUUUUUAUAAAGCUCUGGUUUCUCUCACUUCAAAACAAAGCUUCUAUUUUAAUGAUGAUCUUUAUAGAGUACACUUAUGUGAAACCCCAGCUUUUAUCAUUUUUGGUCAGCUUUAUGGAAAUUUAACCUGUUGGUGUGUGUGUGUGUGUGUGUGUGUGUGUGUGUGUGUGUGUGUGUGUGACUGCAUUGAAUAAAAAUAUGAAGUUUUUGUCAAAGUAAAUCAAGAUGAAUAAUUUCAUUAACUUUGACUGCAACAUUAGAAGCUUGGAAACUGACUAACGUGCUCCACAGUUCCUACAUUUAGUAUCUGCUAGGAUAGUGUUUAUGAUGAGGGGUUUCCUCAAAUUAUCUACACCAUCUCUACUGAUUGUAUAUUUGUAGGUGUUGGACUGAUUAAGACGACUGUUGGAGAAACUGUACUUCAGCGAUUAUAGAGUGGAAUAUCCGUAAAAUGAAUGAGGGGUUUGGAGUUAGGUGGUUCUUUUAUUUUCUUGCCUCUUUUGUUCUUUGCUCCAUUGCAAGCUUUGUUCCUUCCUUCACAUUUCUCUUCAGUCCAUUUUCUGACUGUCUCACACCUUCUCGCUGUCAUGCCAUCACAAGUUGUGACAUUAUCACUACACACAAUAUUGACUCUGUCACUGCAGGACGUGAACAAAGUGGUCUCCUACCCCUCAUUUAGGUGUAUAUGGCACACAAAUACAUAAUUUUUAUUCUACGGUACUCACUUCUUUUAAAGUUCUCUUGGCCUCUGGCCAUAAACAAAACCAAGUUUCUUCCCCAGAACCUGCCGUUUCCUCAGCAUUAAUCUCCUUUCACUGUUGGUCACCAUACGAUUGUUACAUCCUUUAUUUUACCCCUGUAUGUUCCAUUGUUUUUAGAUGUAUUGCAUUGUAUUCAGUUAUACCUCACUCAGAUUGCAAACAACCCUGUUCACGUCACAGGAAGCAGUAGUAGAGACUACACAGCCUGUGCAUUAGCUGCAUUUAGUUGUUUUUUUCACUGAACAGUUCCAAGAUUUCCGAACUUUUCAAGAAUGGUCCAUAGCUAUGUUUCUCAACGGUGGUCAUGGACUACCCCAGGCGUGCACAUUUUAGUAACUCGCCCAAUUCAAGCUGGUUGAGGUUUGUUAGUCAGGUUAUGGGUUGAAGCAGGCAAGCAAAAUAUCCACAUGUGCAUGCUGUACUCCAAGAUAGAGAAGCACUGGACUAGAGAUUACGUACAUAAUCCCAGGUCUGAAAUACACCUGGGUCCAGAUAAACAUGAGCUAAAAGCCAAACUGUGGUUCGCAAAAGAGUAUACCAUUCUACUCACAUGUUCUUGAUGUGUUUACGGCUACUCCUUUAGGUUAUACUUUGUGCAGUUUCCGAUAGUGUGUUCAUUCAACAUAUGAGCUCUCGUUUCUUAUUCUGCUACAUGAGUUGAUGAAGAUGCUGAGUGGUGUUGCAUGGAGUCAUCAUGUGUAACAGAGCUAGAUCUCAUACUUUUACUGAUCUGUACAUAGUAAAGCCUGUGUUUUAGGGGUGUUUUUUUAUGGCAAAGAAAUAUCUUCAGGAGCUCGUCAUUGGUUAUCCACCCAUUUUAAAAUGGUCGAACGUAGAGCUGAACCUUGAUCAGGGACCUACUAUAUACACAAAUGAAGGAAAGAAUCGCGCUGAUAUCCUCCUAGGAAAAAUUUGUCCCUCUUUGCUUAUUCGUGUAGUGGCAUUUCUGCCUCAGAUGACGAAGAAGCAGGACAAAUUGAACUAAGCUGACUACAACAAGCUGUGCACAAUUUACUUCUGUUAUUAUUUCAAUUUUAUUUGCAUUUUGGUUUUAGCCAUUGUGAAAUGAAUUAGCCUCUACUUAGCAUGAACCUUUAAAUACAUUUAAAAACAAAACGAAAAAAAAAAAGAGAAAACGAUAGCUGAAAAGAAAAAAAAACAUACAUAUGUACUGGCAACAUGUUAAAGAAAUAUUGUACUCGUUUAAUUUUGACAGAAUUAUUUUUAUUAAAAUACACAUCCAUGAGCAUAUGAUGGUUGUCUCUUGUGUUAUUUUGCAUGUCUUGUUUCUUUGCAUGCAACAACAUAGCAAGAAGAUUUUCUAAGCUAUUUGAUCCGUGUGUGACACCUAAUGAAGUUUUACUGUUGGAUCUAAAUGUCUAAAAGCAUCAGGCAAGAGAGCAAAUGCAUAAGAUAGAAGAAUUGGGGAUAGCAACUCAUCAGUUCAUCAGGUGGUUUUAGAGACGAGUUGUUUUGAGAGUUUUUGUUAGUUCCUGAC